UUUGGGCGUGUCUCCCUUCUCGGGAAGCACUCUCAACCCCACGAACCCUUGACCUCAAAUCGGGUGAGACUAACCGCUGAACUUAAGCAUAUCAAUAAGCGGAGGA
rnacentral:rRNA from 1 species